CCUAAUGUAUGAAACUGUUCCUCUAUUUAUACUACCAGUGCACUGUGGAGAAACCGGCCAGAUUAAUUCAGCUUAAGUGCUCAAGUCUCGGCUUAGAGGCAACGACACACUUAAAUUGGAAUAAACUGUCAGACCGUCAGAUCUAAUCCGAUAAAACCACUCAUAAAGGAUCGAGUACCACUUACUCGAAGGUGAGACACAAAGAAAUACAAUAAAACACAAUACCAUAAUUUAAGAAGUACUUAAGGGUUGUUACAUCAUCAGAGUUUUGAAAUGUGUAAAUCAUAGUUUUUAAUGGAGCGAAAAUAACUAACGGAGAUAACCGAGUAACAUGGCGAAGCCUGGCCACGCUACUCCUCAUGUUCCUAUCCUGCGAAGGUAGCAUCCCACUCAACCAUCGAACCCGGUGGUAGGGUGGGAGGCUAAGUCACACCAGCAACCAUUUCAUCCAAGGAAGUACCUGUGAAAAUUAUGCCACUAGAAAGGCUAAGUAUACUAAUACUCAGCUAGACUUACCCGGUGUGAGAAGUCUACUUAUCUAUCUCUAGAUUAUGAAGCUGUUUGGCUGAGGGGUUUGGUUUGCCAAAAGCACUAGCUGAUUCUAAAACAAGUUUUAGCUUUUCAAAUUCUAUAUAUUAUUCCUUAAACUAGGUUAGCAUCCUUUUAAGCACACAUGGUUACAAGCAUUUAGUGCAAGCAACACUUUAUAUAAUGAAACAUCAUUACACUUCUUACUCGAUGCAGCAGCAUGGUUGCAUGGAUCAAGCAGUCUCUUUAGCUGCGAGAAGCAGACGAUUCGAAUCGAGUUUUAACCUGCAAGGUAAACCUAAACACAUGACAUGUAGGGGCACUCUGUCCUCACACACAUCACCCAUCCCCAUCGAUUACCCGUCAACAGAACAGAGCCCACUGCCUUGGCAUACAAUGCUCCACUGACCCUGGAUGCCGCUGUAUAGUCACCACACUUGUACCCAUCAUCGCUAGCAUGGUAGAUUCCAUCUCAGGACUAGUGAGAAGUAAAGUCUACGGGUAGGUUCACUCAAGUACUAGGUUUACCUAUUUACCUUAUUUCUUGGCACGUGCUAAGUAUGUUCAAACGUUAGACACGUGGUACAUGGUGAAGUGACACUAGGUUACUUAGCAAAGUGAGGGUUCAUACUCAUUAUAAUAAGCCUUUAUAGGAAUUUGCAUUUAGGGGCCCAUAAUAAGAUUUGAUCAAGGAAAAGAGUGGAUUAAGACUUACAUUAUUUUCAUAAAAACAUAGUUAAGGCUUAGAUGGGUUUUGCUGAAAUCAUUUUAAUUAAUAUUAGUUAACCUUGAAUCCUCUUUCCUUUUUCUAUUAAGCUUUUAGAGGGUGCUUUUGGACUACAACCUUGUAUUAGAAAAUUAUAAACUUCUAUAAAAAUUACAGUAACUUCCUACUGGUUAAAAUAUGUUGCCCUAGGAAUUUGGGGUCAAAAGUAGUUAGGAAUUGUUCUGGACAAAAACAACAAAACUAGGGCAGAGAGGGCACAUUACACUACACCUCCUAUCUAGAAGUGGCUACUGCCCUAAUGGGUAUUUUUCCUGGUAUCUAAGUGCAAUAAUAUAGUCUUGUGCCAAAUUUCAUUAAGUGGUACUUAGUGGUCUUUUUAUCUAGGGGUUUCAAAGUUUUAGGGCCAAAGAAGCACUUAUAACUAGCUUGCCCUUUGAAAAAAUGGCAAACAACAGAUUUAGAAAUUUUACUAAGUUUCCUUUUGCACAAGAGCAAUCAUUCCCAAAGUUGGGGUUGAUUUACCUCUUGAUUCUUUUUCUAUGAUUUCCUAAAGCUUUCUCUAUUUCACUCAAUUAAUUAGUGCUUCUAUACUUCUUCACCGGGCCAGUGCCUAACAUAUUUUUCUCUGGUGCUACAUCCUUUAUUUAGCGUAGGAAAAAUAAGAAGUUCUCAGGUUUCAUCUACUGACUAUUUUUCUUGCUUUUAUUUAGUUAAGGCCCAAUUUAGUUUUUGUUGGAUAAAACCCUAUUAAAGACUUAGACUAGGGUGCUAUAAAACUUAUGCAGUGGAAAACAUGUAUUCCUAUCUACUUAAAAUUUCUCAGGACUGGUUCAAUAGUAUAAAUAUUUUUCCACUAUUAAUUGGAAAUGAGCAGAUUAUUACAUUAAUUCAAAAGUCCUAUAAUCAACUGAAACAAGGUGGUUUCCUAUUUUAAUUUGAUGUUAGAUAUAUACAUAGCAUUAUAAAAUUGGUUUGGUUAUUUUUAGACUCAUAAAUCUUGAGUUAUGACUUUUUUGAAGUUCUUUGCCUAAAAAUAUAAAUAAAACAAAAAGAUUUAAUGGAAAAAGACGUUGCGUCGGGGCCCUUGGGCUUAUCCUGAACAGAAUCCUUCAAAACAAGUCCUCGACGUUCAAUUCAUUCGAGUCUUGGGCUUUUCAAAACAAACCUCUUUCUUUCCCCUAUUUAAACCCGCACUCCCUCGCUACCUGAACAAUGCUAAGAGGAGGAAAUAUGGUGGCACGACCUAACGACGGCGAUAUCGGUCCAAGGAAGUAGCCGGGGAAGUGCUGGGGAUCAAGGCGAACAUACUGGUACCUUUGGAUCAGCCAGUGAUGGCCAGAGACGGGCUAGCGGCGAGGAACUGCUUGUGGAGCUCGCCAUCGACGGCGAUCUUGCUCACUGGUGCGGUAGCACGUCGAGGGAGAGGCCCGAGAGCUUCACUAGGACUUCAUGAAGCUCACCAUCUCCUCGAAUUUGGUGGUGAGUGGCCGGAGACGCGUGUCCACGGUCACCAAUGGAGAGAGGGGCACAACAGUGGUCGAUUUGGCUUGUCGACAGUGGUAGCACUAGAACUGACUGACCGAGGAGCUUCACUGUGCCACAGAGAAGCUCAAGGCAUGCUUGGUUAGGGCUGGGGUGGCUCGGCGGGCUCGGGCCACAGCGGCCGUGCUCCGAGAAGAAAGGUAAGAGGCGGAGCUCGGUGUUCAGGCGAGAGUCCGGCGAGGCUUGUUUGGGGUGUGCUCAG
rnacentral:lncRNA from 1 species